UGUAAGUGGAGUUUAGAAACCUAGCUAUGUGCUCUGACAUGUUACUCAUGUCAGAGAGUAGGAACCGUAGCAGCAGUGCUGGAGUUUCUACCUCAUCAGGAGAGCUCUUCUAGCUAUUUCAGUCAGCUCUAUUUCCAGUUCCACAGCAAUUCUUCAGAAAAUAGGAUUCCCAGACAGCAUUCUGUUCUUCCAAAUCUCACUAAGGAUGAAGACAGCUGUUUGAAUGGAAGGAAAUGACUUCUUGGAAAGGAAGAGACACUCUUCUGGCCUUGGAGCUAUUGAAUGUGCUGCAGGGAGAGCAGCCUCAGGGCAGCGGGCAGGGGAGCCCGGCCAGAGGGAGCCUGCAGCACCGGGCAGGCUGCGAGAGGAGUCGGUGGCAGAUGUCUUGCCGGAAGGACGAGGUGACAGAGAGGCUCUCACUAGUGCUGAGAGGGAACCGUGCAGUCUACCAAGACCCAGAAAGUCCCUGUGUUGGAUUUCAACCAAGCCUAAAAGGAUUUAUCCAAUGACAACACGCACAUCUCCGGUCUGUUUUCUAAGGGGAAAAUAAAGGCAGUGAAAUGAGAAGGUUGGUGGGAGGCCGAUCUGUCUCUCCAGUCCAGCUACUCUGAUGGCUUGGGGGAACAAUGUGAAGUGUGGAUUUAUAGAGGUGAUGGCUAGUCAAGGUUUAGAAAGACUUGGAGACUGUGAACUUCCCAGGCAGAUCUAGGACAGCGUCAGAGCUUUGAGACUUGAGCAUCGCACAGAAGUGAACUUUGUCGCUGCGGAAAGGAGCAGCUUUCCUCCUCCAGGCAGACUGGGCUGGCACCUCUCGGAGGGGUGUUGGACAGUGGUUUUGUGGCUGUUGCUGCCUGCAAGGGAGAGGUCACCGAUGUGUUUCUUAAGCUCAAAAGAUGUAAAGCAGAAGUUAUCGUGGUACAGGACUGACCUUCACUGAGAGAUCCCUGAAGAGAGCAUUUACAUAACGGCUGCUCUUGGCUGCUGCUCCUGGCUGGACUCAUUAUUAUUUGCUCCUUACCUCCCUGAUCCAUGCAUUUCCUACUCGUAUCUUCAGCACAGAAAUGCAAGUCCUUCUCUCACUGAUACCAUCUUUACUGACUUCAUUAGAGUUCUUUUUGAUGCUUAGAUAUAAAUACACCCUUAUCUAUAUCUGUAUCUUUCUUCAGGAGCACACCUGUUUUAUUGCAGUUCUGUGGAUGCCAUUUUGUACCGAACAAUACUUUCUUUCCUCCUAAUCUCAACUAUAGUAACAAAUACAGCAGUCGUAUAUCCUUAUUCCAGCUUCAUAAAGCCUGUCCUUUAGGCUGUAAUGAAAAGGUUAGAGUA